rnacentral:rRNA from 1 species
CCCUCGGGGGUAGAGCACUGGAUGGGCUAUGGGGACUCACCGUCUUACUGAUCCUAACCAAACUCCGAAUACCGAGGAGUACUAGUCGGCAGACACACGGCGGGUGCUAACGUCCGUCGUGAAGAGGGAAACAACCCUGACCUCCAGCUAAGGUCCCCAAGUCAUGGCUAAGUGGGAAAGGAUGUGAGACUCCCAAAACAACCAGGAUGUUGGCUUAGAAGCAGCCAUCAUUUAAAGAAAGCGUAACAGCUCACUGGUCUAAAUAAGGGGUCUUGCGCCGAAAAUGUACCGGGGCUAAAGCCAUGCACCGAAGCUGAGGAUGUGCAGUUUACUGCACGUGGUAGCGGAGCGUUCCGUAAGCCUGUGAAGGGAGACCCGUGAGGGCUCCUGGAGGUAUCGGAAGUGCGAAUGUUGACAUGAGUAACGAUAAAGGGAGUGAGAGACUCCCUCGCCGAAAGACCAAGGGUUCCUGCUUAAAGUUAAUCUGAGCAGGGUUAGCCGGCCCCUAAGGCGAGGCCGAAAGGCGUAGUCGAUGGGAACCACGUUAAUAAUCGUGGGCCUGGUGGUAGUGACGGAUCUCGUGUGUUGUAUCUCCUUAUUGGAUUGGAGGU